GGACCAACACGCUUAUCUUACUUCAUAACUGAUUGAGGGCAUCUCCUGUACAUCCUCCUCUUCAACAAAUCUCCUAGGAGCCUCGCAGAACGCUUAGAUCUCUCCAUGAUGAAACCUGCAAGACAAGAAACAGGAUUUCUUUCAAGGCCAUCGGAU